rnacentral:rRNA from 1 species
GUGCCAGCAGCUGCGGUUAUACAAAAAAUACAAGUUAAUUUUAUUAAAUUAAGUUAAAUUGAUAAAUAUUUAAUAAUAAAAAAAUUUUUAAGUGAAAUUUUAAUUUUUUUAUUUUUAAAAUUAAAAAAAGUGUUGAAACUAAAAAAUUUUGUUAAUAAACUAGGAUUAGAUACCCUAUUAUAAAAAAUGUAUUUUAUAAAAAUUAGAGUAGUAGUAGUUAUGGUCUUGAAACUCAAAAAAUUUGGCGGUAUUUUAGUCUAUUCAGAGGAACCUGUGGUAUAAUCGAUAAUCCACGAUGAAUCUUACUUAUUUUUGUUUUUCAAUUUGUAUACCGCCGUUAUUUAAAAAUUUUUUGAAAAUAAUAAUUUUUAUAAUUUUUUAUUAAAUAGAAAGUCAGGUCAAGGUGCAGUUUAUAUUUAAGUAUUUCAUGGGUUACAAUAAAUUUAUUUAAAUGGAUUAAAUUAUGAAAUUAAUUUAUGAAGGUGGAUUUGGCAGUAAAUUUUUAAAGAUUAGAAAAUUGAUUUUAGCUCUAAAAUAUG